rnacentral:tRNA from 1 species
GGCCUCGCGGCGCGGGCGGACGGGCGCGCCCGGCUGGUGACCGCGCCCAACUCCGGCUUCUGAGGCCGGGGAGGACA